rnacentral:lncRNA from 1 species
UGCAAUGCUUUUUAUAGGCUAGAGACCUCUUUAUUGUAGGAUGCUUCAUUCAAAUAUUAAAUAAUCAGCUCCACAAAAACAAGAGCUACCAACCUCUCUUAAGAGUUUUCAUUGGUUGGUUAGACUCCCAUCUUUUUUGAACUCUUUUCCUAUACAGUUUAUAAAGUUGUGCUUUAUCUCUGCCCUCAAUUUGAGGCUUGCUGGAUGUGGCACAUAAUGGGUAUCAAAGUUGUGGGACUAAUCCAAUCCCACAUUUGAAAUUUGUUUUGGAAUUUUUGUAUUUCAACAUCCUUAAGCGAAUCCACCGCACCGCUGCCACACGAACCCAACGAGCUGUCAUCGUACACCUGAUGUAGUAUCCCACAGUGCUGAGAUAAAGAAGCUCACACAGUCAUUGCAAGAAUUCCGCAGCAGCAGCAUCGACCCACGUCGCACAACAGCAUCACGCACCCUUGCGCAGAACCCAGUCUAGCACCCGCUCCAUAUCAAUG